rnacentral:rRNA from 1 species
UACGUAGGGUGCGAGCGUUAAUCGGAAUUACUGGGCGUAAAGCGUGCGCAGGCGGUUUUGUAAGCCAGAUGUGAAAGCCCCGGGCUUAACCUGGGAAUGGCAUUUGGGACUGCAAGGCUGGAGUGUGGCAGAGGAGACUGGAAUUCCUGGUGUAGCAGUGAAAUGCGUAGAUAUCAGGAGGAACACCGAUGGCGAAGGCAGGUCUCUGGGCUGACACUGACGCUCAUGCACGAAAGCGUGGGGAG